UUACCUGUAGCUCAGCGGACAGAGCAUCUGCCUUCUAAGCAGUUGGUCGCUGGUUCGAAUCCAGCCGGGUGAACAA
rnacentral:tRNA from 7 species